GAGAAGGAAGCCCGGGUUGUGACCCUUGGCGGCCCUGAAUGGGAGUCCUUACUCGGUCUGUCCCAACACUCCUGUGCCAAGGUGGGCUGAGAGAGGGGCGUGGGAUGAACCUGAGGCCUGACCCAAAAGAGAGGCAGCUCGCAGAGCACAGAGCCCCUGCGCUGUUGGGGACCUCUGGCCCCGCACCCCAACCCGCAUCAGGGGGCCCAGUGGGGAGGGGUUCUCCUAAAGGCUGGGUGGCCCAGCCUGGCCUUCAGGGCAGCUCAUGUCAUCUUUGUCCCCUGGGAUGUUCCUAGAAGAACUCGGAGCAGAGGGAGCAGAGCUGGGCCCUUGCCCAGCCCCCAGCCCAGCCCCCCGACCACGCAUUGGUGGUCAACUCGCUCCCUCCGCAGGCCCCACCCAGCAUCUUCCUUCUUCUACAGGAGGCCUGGGGGUUGGGGAGCCAGGGCCCUCGCAGGUGGGCAGAGGCCACAGCUACUUCCACUGCUUUGGACCCAAGUCUGUUUUCAAAGUGAAAAACAGGGACCGGAGUUCCAAAGGCUGUAGCUGGUUUGAAAUGUUUAUGGUUUCCAACAAGUCCCUUCCACUGACGAAACCUGAAGACGGCCUUAUAAGAAGCUCCUUGGCUGACGACAGGUGCAGCGCAGGUGCACGAAUGGAAGGCCCAGAGCCCAGCGGCCUCUUGAGCCCUGGACCCCCAGCCCCAGCCCCAGGCGCUGCAGAGCUCGGGGCGGGGGACAAGAACCAGGGGCCUGAUGUGUGCUCGGCUCUGAAGUCGGGAUGGCAGCUACAGAAAGCGCCUUGGUUGCCAGCUCGCACGCAUUUCCUGUUUUUUGGUUGCUUAACCCAUGACCUCUGGCCACAGCGGCCUCAGAACUCUUUCAGCUGCCCCCCUGGGUCCUGGGGUGAGAGGAAGUCUGGUUCCAUCCAAACACGGGGCAGUCAGAGAGGACAUCUACACCCCAGGGGCAGAGCCGGCCAUAGGAGGGAUGGGGGGGCAAGCCCUUGUUGCUGGGCAACCAGCUCCCUCUGUUGCCUUGGUGACGGCCCUGCCAGAGGGAGGCUGUGAGUCCCCAGUCUCCCCAGCACCAGCCAGCUCCUCCCCACUGCACACUGCCUCCCACAGGUAUUCUACGCCCCCUUCCAUCACCAGCCUCCCCAAGCCUUCAGGUUUGGGCUCAAGCAGUUCCCCAGCCCAGGGCAUUGCU
rnacentral:lncRNA from 1 species